ACGCGGCACCACGUACAGUACUUCGCGUUUUCAGCUCCCUCCCCAAAAUUUCACUUCCCUCCUUCCCCAUUUUCAACUUCCCUCUUCAAUUGAAACCCUACCCAAUUAGAGAAAAGAUGUUCCAUUCACUAUAUUUCCAGUUUUUAGUUGUAAUAGAAAAAAAAAAGAAUCUGGAAUUGAAAACAUAUUCGAUCUGUUUCGACUCGGUGCAGGAGGCGGCUACUAUUUGAGUGGGUUCAACUCGUAGUGAGGUUACUUGGUGUGAGAGAUACUCUGGGUUGACAGAUUCUGGGAAGAAUUUCAGUACAAGCUGUUGUAAGCAGUGGUGUUGGUGAUUUUAUGUCGUCGUAUGUGGGUUGUGCGUAAAUCUCUUGCUUGGGCUUGAGAACCAGGGAAAGACGUCCAACAGAUUGCAAAAGGAUUACCCGGUUCUCUUAUAUCUGUUAAGUGUUAAGGUAUUUGGAGCAAAGAAGGAGAAAAGAAGUAGAA